UUCUACUGUGAAAGCCAGACACAGUGGUGCUCGCCUGUUAUCCCAGCACUGAGGGAGGCUGAGGCAGGAGGAU
rnacentral:miRNA from 1 species